AGAUUAAUACCACAGCUGUUGAACUUUAAUUAACUAUUUGAUAAGCUCCAUAUAGUCUUCAUACUUUUACUUUAACUAAGAUAAUUAUUGCAAUUUGCCACAGGCAUCCAACAGCAGUAUAACAACAAUAGCAGCAAUUCAGCAGCAGCAAUAACGG